UUAGGAAUUUUGGGCAAUGGCCGCAAGGCUGACCCAGCAACGCCGCGUGGGGGACGAAGGCUUUCGGGCUGUAAACCCCUUUUCCCAGGGACGAUGAUGACGGUACCUGGGGAAGAAGCCCCGGCUAACUACGUGCCAGCAGCCGCGGUAAUACGUAGGGGGCGAGCGUUGUCCGGAUUCAUUGGGCGUAAAGCGCGCGCAGGCGGCUGGGCAAGUCGGCCGUGAAAUCUCCGGGCUUAACUCGGAGGGGUCGGGCGAGACUGCACAGCUCGAGGCGGGUAGAGGGCAGUGGAAUUCCGGGUGUAGUGGUGGAAUGCGUAGAGCUCCGGAGGAACACCAGUGGCGAAGGCGGCUGCCUGGGCCCGGCCUGACGCUGAGGCGCGAAAGCGUGGGGAGCGAUCCG
rnacentral:rRNA from 1 species